rnacentral:rRNA from 1 species
UACGGAGGGUGCAAGCGUUAAUCGGAUUUAUUGGGCGUAAAGGGCGCGUAGGCGGGAGUGCAAGUCAGAUGUGAAAUUCCGGGGCUUAACCCCGGAGCUGCAUUUGAAACUCCAUUCCUAGAGGGUAGGCGGAGAAAGCGGAAUUCUACAAGUAGCGGUGAAAUGCGUAGAUAUGUAGAAGAACACCUGUGGCGAAAGCGGCUUUCUAGCUUACUCCUGACGCUGAGGCGCGAAAGCUAGGGGAGCGAAC